CAGAAAAUAGUUUAUCGGAAAAUACCGGCUUUGGGAGCCGGAGAAAGAGGUUUGAGUCCUUUUUUUCUGA
rnacentral:tRNA from 1 species